CGUAGGUACCGAGCGUUAUCCGGAUUUACUGGGCGUAAAGCGUGUUCAGGCGGUCUAGCAAGUCGGGCAUGAAAUCUCUCGGCUCAACCGGGAGGGGUUGUCCGAUACUGCUGGGCUUGAGGGCAGCAGAGGGUGGUGGAAUUCCGGGUGUAGUGGUGAAAUGCGUAGAUAUCCGGAGGAACACCAGUGGCGAAGGCGGCCACCUGGGCUGUACCUGACGCUCAAACACGAAAGCUAGGGGAGCGAACGGGAUUAGAAACCCCGGUAGUCCUAGCCGUAAACGAUGUUGACUAGGUGUCGACGGUCUAAACCCCGCCGGUGCCGGAGCUAACGCACGAAGUCAACCGCCUGGGGACUACGGCCGCAAGGUUA
rnacentral:rRNA from 1 species